CAACACCGAUCCAAAUACAACUCUUGACUUUUUGAGGCUGUGAAAUGUGUGCGAUUCGUGUUUACUAAAAUGGAAGAGGGUGGGAGAAACACUCAAUGGAUCAGACAUGGAGACCAACAUCACCGGCAUUUUGAUGACGACUUUCGCCAUCGUUUCUCGAACCCUUGGAUUCUUCAAGAAAUCUAUUGCCGAUUCUCCGUUGCCAACUAUGUCGUCUGCAUUUUCCAGUUCGUCAUCAUCUGCUUCCAUUCUCGGAUAAAAAAAGCAGAGACCCAGGAGUGCAUACUCUCGACGUUUGAACAUGGAUUUCUCCAGCUGUUCCAGGGUUGGAGGGUUUCCAGAACAGCCCAAUGCAUUCAUUGUCCUCGACAAACGUGAUAAGUAUUUUUGUAAAAAUAUGUUGUCUUGAGUCAUUUUUAUAGCGAGUUCCGGAGCAACGUUGAGAAACUGAAGUAGGUCGAUCGCAGGAGAUGUCCAGACACACAUUUGAUAAUCGACCUGGGGAAAAUGAGUAAAGACAUUCAACAAAUAUUUCACUAUUUAAUGAAUCAAACAUUACGAUCGAUCUUAAAAUAAUAGGAAAUAUUCUAAAUCAAUCAGGAGCGAUGAGUUUUAGUUAAGUAAGUUAUGUUCCUAAGGCUCGUGACUACAUGAUUUGUCCACGAAUAAUCGAUUUGUUUGACAAUUUUCUCCAACUUGCUCUCCCUGUACUUACGAAGUAAGCCUCAAGAGGUUCUCCACUUUCAUCGUUCUUGAACAUGAUGUUAUUGUUCCACAUGUCUCCAUGAUUCAGAACUCGAAGCUCGUCCUCAUCACAUUGAUAAGCGAGCAGAAGUUUCUGUACUAUUUCCCUCGAUUUUUUCUUCAGUUUCUCAGAUAUCAGGGCGAAUUUCUGAUCCUCCCAGUCACCAACUCCAACUCCAAUGGACUCCACGCAUUGGGCGACGAACGUCAUAACGCUUUUCGAAAGGCUCGUACUGAAGAAGCCUUUUGAAAAGGUAGACAUGCUGUUGGGAUUCUAAUAACGAUUAGAAUUAGUGGGUAAAUUCAUGCACCAUUGAACAUUUCAUGUUUUAACAGUUCUAAUUUUACGAGAAGAAUUAGCGUUUAAUUAUUUCAUAAGAUAUAAUAGAAACUCAGCCAAAUGGAUUCUUAGAAGUAAUGACGAAAUGUAUUCUUUUCAGUUAUUAAUUAAUGCAAAAUUACCUAGGGAUGAGUGAUCUGUCCUACCUGUUCAUUCAUAAAAACUGAUGCUGCAUGAAAAUCCGCGAUGCUCUCCAACACCAGGAACAUCUCCACUUCAUUAAAUCCCAUUUUCCGAUUCUUAUUACGGAAACCUCGGGUCGCCAAAUCCUCCAUAACAAUACUGUCCGGAUUAUCCGAGGAAUAAUAAAGUUUAGGGCCCAAGCGCUUCCCAACUAGCUCCUCCAUCUUCGGUAGAAUCUCCAAAACACGUCGCUCGGUGUCAAAGAGACACAUGUCCCGUAUGACUUCCAAGGUUUGCAUUUCGGAAUCUGGUUCCUCCUUCAUCAUCAGAUGUGCCACCCUGGGCACUCUUUUGUGGUGAACUCCCUCGAGGACGCUGCAGCUGUAUUUGAGGGUGAAUCGUGUCAAGUAACUGAGGUCAUUCUCUCCUUUCUUUAGUGCUGGUGCUUUUGUUAUCAACACCACAUCCUGAAUCGUAUCGUCGCCUAAUCCGCGACGCAAAAUUUUCUGGAAGUAGACGUCGUUGGGAUCGAGGUUGUCCAGGAUCAUGGGACGCGACUAUUCAUAAAAAUAAAACAUGAUAAUUAUCACAUUGAUCGCGAUUGAUUGUUUUUAAAAAAUAUGAUUAAAAACUGGUGAAUGCGACAAAGAAUCAACUAAAAGAAAAUUGUUUUUGUCGACAACAUAUGAAUUUUGAUAUCUUUUUGCAAGUUUUAGUAGAAGAAAAUGUCUCUUUCAGAAUCUUUAUCAGCAGAUCAAGCGUUUCUAUGUGAACCAAAUGCAAUUCCAGGCAUGAAAAUUAUGGUGAACUAAAUGAUUAUUAUUCAACAAUUGAUAUUUGAUAACACAUAAAUCGAAUCAGGAAAAACGAAUCGACAAUUCAAUAGAAGGUCAUCACAAUUUUCUAGUCAUUCCGAGGUUUCUGCGAAAUUUUCAUGAAUUAUUAUCUAGAAAUAUUUGCAAUGAUUUUACCAUUAUUUUUUAAUGUAACAAGUGAGUGAAAGUCCGCAAGAUGACAAUCCAGAAGAUAACAUAUGCACUUGAAAUCGAUUUUCGAGUGAAUGUCCGUGAUUACUCUGUAUUUACUCGACACCACUGAAUAUCCGAGGCUGACGUAUCUGAGGUAAUAAUAUUGGAUAUGGUAGAUAUCGUUAAUGGUUUCCACGUUCUUAUUGGUACACUCACAAAGAUAAGGAUCAACGAAAUGUGCAUUAACGAUUGAAGCUAAUGAGGUGGGAACGAGAAUUUGUUGUAAGUACUGAAAGAAAAAUAACAAUCUACGUGGCGGCUUCAACGAAAAAAUGAAAAUUUAAUUGCUUUUAAUUGAUAGAGAAAUUCAUUAUCAUAAGUGGAAGCUCUUGAGUCGAGGUUCUCAUGAUUGAAGAAUUGAGUCUAAAAUAAUAACUUAAUUACAAAAGCAAUGAUAUUUCCUAAUUUUCAAUAAUAAAAUUACGCCUGUAGCUUUCGUUAAUUACAUGUUCUAAUGACGUUGGAGCUGGUCCAAUCUAAUAAUCUAAUCAUUAUUGUCUUGAUUAUUCAAAACUUGGUAGUGAUUACCAUGUCAUCGGCUCCAGAAUUAAAUAAAAAAAUCUCUGUAGCUUGAUAGCAAGGGAAAGGUAAUUUUUCAUAAAUAAAAGACUAGGUUCACGAUAGACCAACAUUUUUUUUAUUAACGCAAAUUAUUUUCUGCCAACAGACAGUCAACAUCCAGAUUAAAAAUCAUCGAGCAAGUCAGUCACAUCAGCCGUUACAGGGACCACGGUUUCCACUUCAAUAGUGUCCGGCACUGCCUCUGUUACUUCUGGUACUGGACUUGAUGUUGCAGCAAUGGUCGUGGAGCUGACAAUCGCCUCUGGUUUCUUCUUGUCACCCUUCACAGAUUCUUUGACACACUCUUUGACACCAGCAAGGAGAUGGUCUACAUUCUCACUGAUGACGUUAAAUCCGUUCUUGGAAGCGCAGUGGGGUAGGCUAAUUGGGAGAGUAUUUACGAGGAAUCCAAGCCUGACAGCAAGACCGGUAGCUUCUGGAAGUCUCUUAGUGCUGACCCACAGGGCAGUAAGUCCCACCUAAAAAAUAUCCAGUGGUGUUAUAUCAGUACUGAAACCAUAAAGUUCACACUUCGUACGUACCUUGUUGAUGCAAACGAGAGCCCCAGCGGUUGCUUUAAUCCCAUCGAUAUUCUCAGUGCAUCGUCGUGCUUCCUCCUGCAGCUUCUUAAGUUCAUCCCUAACUUCAUUAGCAACAGCUGAGAUUUCUGCGAUGUACUCCUUGCCAGACGCCAGUUUGUCAGUGACACAUUUUUUGUCAUCAGCAAUGACUUCCAGGAAGGCAUCACGCACUGUACCAGCCAGUCUUCGGCAUUCAGAGACACUUGGAUCGUCGAGAUCACCAACGAGUUCGUUGACUCGGUCGUUGAUCUGUCAAUUCAAUUUUUUCAUGAUUAAUUGUAUCUCGAGAAGAGAAGACACAGAAAUUUCAAUUAUUCACCUUUUGCAGGACUUCAUUUACUCGGUUUUCCAUUUUCUGGAGGAACUCGGCGAUUCUGUUCCUCAAUUCUUCACCCAAUUGCGCAGCUUUCUCUCGGGCGUCGCCGAUGACUUCUUCAGCUUUGGCGAGUGCAUCGUUUAUUAUAUCAUGGGUUUUCGCACUGGCGCUCUCCAAGGCUUCGCUAAGGGACAGAGCCUGAGAACUCUGUAACAAUAUACAUUAUUACUGUUAAUCUUUGUCAACUAUUCAAUUGUAGAAUCAACAAAACAGUCUCACGCAUUCUGUACCAAUUGUUUAAAGAUAAUAGUGAUAUCAUUGAUUGCAAAAACUUACGUGAGGCACAAGUGUCAGGAAGACGGCGAACAGAACAAUUGUGAGCUUCAUCAUCUUCUCGGAGUGAUUACCACCAAGAGUGUGAUUUCUCAAUGAUUCAACCCAUUUUUAUAGUGAUUAUCAAAGUCCUCUGAUUUGAAUAAUUGAUUCAAUGAGAGUAAACCACAUGUGCUAACUAAUAUUUGCGAUUUUUGGAAUUAUUUCCAUGAGUUGCGAAUACCUUAUCUCCGAUAGCCGAGUGUAAUAUAUUUGCGUGACAAAUAUUAAAGUCAGGCAAAUAAUAUGUAUGUACAUGGAUACAUUAUAUACCACACUUCUACUGAAACCAUCUAUUAUUUGGAAAUCAAAUGGGUGAAUUCGUUUUUUUCUUUGUCUACUCACCGACACCAGAGAUAAUUGACAUUGCCUAAUCUUGGGGAAUAUCUUCCUGUGUGCUUCACCUUUAUGUUACUCUUAAUUAUGAAAAAUUGUCAAUAAACAUGUGAUGAGACGGAGGUUUCCAUUUUUGUUUUUUCUUUGCACACAUGGGGCUGGGCUUAGUUGAGCCAGGCGGUAAUGAUUAUUCGUCUCUCCUUAAUUAUUG